UACGUAGGUGGCGAGCGUUAUCCGGAAUGAUUGGGCGUAAAGGGUGCGUAGGCGGCCUGCUAAGUCUGGAGUGAAAGGUACCGGCUCAACCGGUACAGGCUCUGGAAACUGGCGGGCUAGAGAGCAGGAGAGGGCGGUGGAACUCCAUGUGUAGCGGUAAAAUGCGUAGAUAUAUGGAAGAACACCAGUGGCGAAGGCGGCUUACUGGACGAUGACUGACGCUGAGGCUCGAAAGCGUGGGGAGCAAACAGG
rnacentral:rRNA from 1 species